rnacentral:rRNA from 1 species
UACGUAGGCAGCGAGCGUUGUUCGGAGUUACUGGGCGUAAAGAGUGCGUAGGCGGUUUUCUAAGUUUGGUGUGAAAUCUCCCGGCUUAACUGGGAGGGUGCGCCGAAGACUGGAAGGCUUGAGUAUGGGGGAGGUAAGCGGAAUUCCUGGUGUAGCGGUGAAAUGCGUAGAUAUCAGGAGGAACACCUGCGGUGUAGACGGCUUACUGGACCAUCACUGACGCUGAGGCACGAAAGCGUGGGUAGCAAACAGG